CGAUGUUCACCAGAAAUUAACUGGUUGGUAUCAGAUGGAGGGUUUUAAUCCAUAGCAGACAGAUACGAGUGGUAUUAUAACUCCUGUUCUGUGUUCCUAUUUACACAAAGAGAUCAUGUGAAUAAAAUUAUUUUACGACUCCCGUGGGCGCUUGGUAUCCGUGUGGGCCGUGUGUGUGUGUGUGCCACCAAAGUAAACUGCAGUUUGUUCACUGACUGCAACAAAACCUCAAAACACGACACAAUUUAUUAUGAAAAUAAUACAUUUCAACAAAAUAAUAAGAGCAUGAUACAUAUUAUGAAUACCAGAGGCUAACUCAGCCAGGGGCUAGCUCAGCCAGGGGCUAGCUCAGCCAGGGGCUAGGUCAGCCAGGGGCUAGCUCAGCCAGGGGCUAGGUCAGCCAGGGGCUAGGUCAGCCAGGGGCUAGGUCAGCCAGGGGCUAGCUCAGCCAGGGGCUAGCUCAGCCAGGGGCUAGGUCAGCCAGGGGCUAGCUCAGCCAGGGGCUAGGUCAGCCAGGGGCUAGCUCAGCCAGGGGCUAGGUCAGCCAGGGGCUAGGUCAGCCAGGGGCUAGGUCAGCCAGGGGCUAGCUCAGCCAGGGGCUAGGUCAGCCAGGGGCUAGGUCAGCCAGGGGCUAGGUCAGCCAGGGGCUAGGUCAGCCAGAGGCUAACUACACAUAGCUAGCCUAUUCUCUUCAAACAGAGGCUUUCCCUCGAUGAUGAGCUCACAUCAGGUUUUAGUGCAAAGAAAAGUUACGUUAUUUAACAUUGCAACUAAUGCUCAACAAACACAAAUGUGCACAGUACAUAAUAUUUACUUAAAUAUUUCUAGACAUAUUACAUAAUAUAUUAUAUUUACUAAUUAUAUAAU